CAGAUCUGGGUCCCACUCCUGCCGUUGUCAUGCCCUCUUGAGGAGUAUCCAAGGAACAUUCUACAUUCCCAGACUCCAUAAAUUCCCUGGGCCCAUACCAGAGGCUGAGAUGUAUGCACUUGACUGAGACAUUCAUCUGGGAUUUGCUGAGGCCAAAAUUAAAUCAGCUGUUGCACCGAGAAGGGAGGAGGGAGCCCCAUCUGCACACGCCUCUUGCCCAAAGAGAACUUUGGGUAACUUUGGACCCAGGUGGCUGAGUCCUCCCACCAAAGCUCUGCUGUGCACGAGGAACAUUUCAGGAUAGCGCUGCAAGCACUUAAGUGUGAUUUGCUGAAUGCUGUCUAACCAAUACUUUGGAU